GUCCAUGCCGUAAACGGUGGGCGCUAGGUGUAGGGGACUUCCACGUCUUCUGUGCCGUAGCUAACGCAUUAAGCGCCCCGCCUGGGGAGUACGGCCGCAAGGCUAAAACUCAAAGGAAUUGACGGGGGCCCGCACAAGCGGCGGAGCAUGUGGAUUAAUUCGAUGCAACGCGAAGAACCUUACCUGGGCUUGACAUACACCGGACCGGGCCAGAGAUGGUCCUUCCCUUGUGGCCGGUGUACAGGUGGUGCAUGGUUGUCGU
rnacentral:rRNA from 1 species